GGGCAGGACUAAUCGGUGCCAGGUGCCUUGUAGACGUGCCAGGCUGACAGGUGUCCCACUCUCUCUGUGGGAGGACGAGUUCAUAACACAUCCUUGCCUAGUGCAUAUCUGAAUCUCAUUUCUGGAGCUGUACCUAGAGACGGCAGCCUUUGUCUGUGGUGGUGGUGGGGGGGGGGGGGGACGAGGACCACACUGGAAAGUGGGAAAAGAGUUUGAGUGAUCAGUGCCUUCCUCAACUGAAAAAUACUAAGAAGUCACCUGGAUUUGGAGCUGAUACUCACUAAGUACAGGAAGUAUUAAGUAUCACUAAGUACAUGAUAGCUAUCUUUUGGUGGUUUUCAAACUGGUUAUUGUAAGAUUCUAUUUUCCAGAUUUACUCUACUUUGACCCUUCCUAUAUGAAAGAGCGGUUGGUCUGGUUACACUGGGCGUGGGGGGUCCAGAAUGCUGUGGGUGUGGCGUCUUCCUCGGCUGCUCCCACACAGCACCCCUCCUUCCUGCAUCUUUGAGCCACGAGCUCCUCAAAAUGUGGAACAUCCUGAGAAACACUGAACACAUACUGCCUCUGAUUUUACAAGAGGACGCUGAGGCUGGGGGAUGAACCGAGGUGCCAAGGUCUUGGUGCUGGGGCUGCUGGGGCUGCCGGGACGGUCAGGAACCAGCCACCGUUUGGACAGCACAUGUUCACUCUCCUCGACAGGAAGUAAACAUUUAAACGAUUUUGACCAAGAAUGUAAAGCCAUGGAUUGAGAUAACCCACUUAAAGCCAGCAGAGCCCUUCAGGGCUUACUCUUUUUCCUGUCGAUUCAGUAUUUUGGAUUCUGCAAACAAAAAUAUUCUGGAACAGGAGAUUUGGUUUGAUUGACAUGCCUGUACUGGUAAUAGGAGAACUUGGAGAGCUGAGUUCCCUCCCGUCCUCCCCUCCACGCAUCUCUUCCAGGCCUUCAGCGAGCUUCCCAGAGAGAGCCGUGGGUCAGCGCAGGAGGAACAGGACCGGCUCCAGUGACACAGAGAGCCCUGGAGCUUGCCUCCCACAGCCGGGGAGAGACAGCCAAGCCGGCAGAGCCUCUUAUCGUUUCCCCAAAUUCCUGGUUUUCCAAAAUCCUCAAGAGAAGAAAAAUGUCUGAAAGUGUCAUACUCCUUUAUCAUCACCUGCUACAAAAACUUGAGUACAAUUGGCAUCUGCUCAUCUCACGUGCUCAACUCAGAUGUCUGAUGUGUGGUAUUCAAGCAAGUGAGAUGCUUCCAGGGGCCUGACCCUCUCCUUCAUCAUGUCCAUAGUCAGAAUGUCUGUGGAAUUGAUCUCUGCAACUGAAGGAAUAGAUGUCAGUAAAGUAGAUGGGCCAUUCAUUGAACAAACACUUACUGAGCACCUAUCCUAUGCUGGACACUGGGCUAGUUCUUCUCAGUCAGCACAGUGAGUCAGCUGGACUCAGACCUUGGCAAGGGAAGAAAGCAAGUAUGGGGUUCCCCAGAGAGCACGUUGAUGCAGUGUGACCCUGUAAGCUUUCCUCUGUUUCCUAUUGCAGACUCCUCUCCUAGAAUGUCCCACCAUGCUCACUGUCGUUGUCCUUUCCUCUGUUACUGCCUUUCCUCCACCAAGGCUGAGGUGCCAAUUCAAAUCCUACCAUCGUUGGAAACCAGCUGAAGACUUACAUUUUCCCUCAGCUCUGAAGGCUUUCAAUGCUCACCCCUUCUCCUUAUCUACGAAAGCCCAUUGAACAUGCCUCUCUGCUACGUGUUAGGGCAACCACCUAUGACAGCUUUUUUGACUUAACCAUUUAUGACUUAACCAUUUUGGGGAGGCAGGCUAUUCUCUUUAUAUCAAGUUUCUUUAAGAAAAUGGUCUUGUUUCCUCUCAAGUUAAUGGAUUCAAAGUAGCUAACCCAUUGGAGGUAUCUGUGGUUAGGUCCUACACAACAUCUUUCAGUAAGAGAUGCGUGAUAAGUAAAUGUUGACUAGAAGUGAACUUGAUCUUGCUCUCUCUUUUUUUUUUUUUACCCCUGGAAGAUGCAAAGAGAAGUUGUGACUCCCUUUAUCCAUAUGGCUUUGCCUCCUAGCCUCCUAGCCUUGGGCACAUGAGAAUUAUUAUUAUUAUUUUUUUUUGGUGACUUAAAAUGUGAGUUUGAGUGAACUCUAGGAGUUGGUGAUGGACAGGGAGGCCUGGUGUGCUGCAAUUCAUGGGGUCGUACAGAGUCGGACACGACUGAGCGACUGAACUGAACUGAAAACAACAGAAAUUUAUUCUCUACACUUCCUGAGUGAGGCCAGAAGUCCCAAAUCAAGAUGUUGGCAAAGUUGGUUCCUUUUGGAUGCCCUAAGGGAGAGUCUGUUGCAUGCCUCUCUCCUAGCUGCUGCUGGCAAGACCUGAUGUUGGUUGGGUUGUGGGUGUGUCACUUCGUCUUCACCUUGGUCUUCACAUGGUGAUUUCCCUUCCACCGUGUGUCUGCUUUCUGUGUGUCCACUUCUCUUCUUGUAAGAGCACCAUCCUUCGGAUGCAGGGCCCACUUUAAUCUAGUAUGACCUCACCCUAACAUAACUAAUUGCAUCUGCAAAGACUGUGUUUCCAAAUAAAGUCACGUUCUGAGAUUCUGGGUGAACAUAAGUUUUGGAGACACACUAGUCAACUCACUGAACUAACUAAAGGCCACAAAUAUUUUCUUCUAUGUUUUCUUCUACAAGUUUUAUAACGUUUGGUGUCACAUUUAGUUCUGUGAUGCAUACUGGUUUAAUUUUUGUAUUUGAUGGUAGUUAUAGGUAAAUGUUUAUUUUUGUUCUUAUGGAGUCCAAUUACUCAAAAACUAUUUGUUGAAAAGAUUGUCUUCUACCUUGAGUUGUCUUUGCAUCUUUGUUGAAAAUUGAUUGAUCAUAUAUGUAUAAGUCUAUUGCCAGACUCUGUUGACUUUUUGGUCAAUAUCACACUGUCUUGAUUCCUAUAGUUUUAUAGUAAGUCUUCAGAUCAGGUAUGGUGAAUACUCUAGCAAAAUUCUUCAGAAUUAUUUUAGACAUUGUAGUUAAAUUGCUUUUCUAUACACUUUUGAUAAUCAUAUUUAUUGGGGCAUCAUAUUUAUUGAAAUAGGCUGAAGACAGAGCGGACUCAGUAUAAGCUGAGAUAAUCUGCUCUGAAGAACAGCACACAAAGGUUCCAGUAGCUGCAGAAGGAUAUGUGGUAAGAGUGUACAUUUCUUUUUUUUUGUCUUAAAAAAAAUUUAUUUAUUUUAAUUGGAGGCUAAUUACUUUACAAUAUUCUAGUGGUUUUGCCAUACAUUGCCAUGAAUCAGCCAUGGUUGUACAUGUGUCGCCCAUCCUGAAACCCAGUCCCACCUCCCUCCCCAUCCCCAUCCCCAUCCCCAUCCCUUAGGUCAUCCCAGUGCAUCGCCGCUGAGCACCCUGUCUCAUGCAUCGAACCUGGACUGGCGAUCUAUUUCACAUAUGGUAAUAUACAUAUUUCAAUGCUAUUCUCUCAAAUCGUUCCACUCUCACCUUCUCCCACCACGUCCAAAACUCUGUUCUUUACAUCUGUG
ensembl:lincRNA